rnacentral:lncRNA from 1 species
CGAGUGAGUUCAUCCUGCUGGCCUGACCAUCUCCAGAAAGUAAGAGUAAAUGAAAGAUUUGAUCCAAGUACACUGUAUCUCCUUGUGCUGACUAUAGCUGAAACAAUUGCUGGAGAAGUAUCCCAGUUAUCAAAGUGAAAACUUCUAUCCUUUUACCUGAUUGGGAAAAGCUGAUUUAGCUAUCAAUUAGUGCCUAGAGCCAGAAAACUUGAUAAAAUCUUAGUUUG